CGGCAGGCCUAACACAUGCAAGUCGAACGGUAACAGAAAGCAGCUUGCUGCUUUGCUGACGAGUGGCGGACGGGUGAGUAAUGUCUGGGAAACUGCCCGAUGGAGGGGGAUAACUACUGGAAACGGUAGCUAAUACCGCAUAACGUCGCAAGACCAAAGAGGGGGAUCUUCGGGCCUCUUGCCAUCGGAUGUGCCCAGAUGGGAUUAGCUAGUAGGUGGGGUAAAGGCUCACCUAGGCGACGAUCCCUAGCUGGUCUGAGAGGAUGACCAGCCACACUGGAACUGAGACACGGUCCAGACUCCUACGGGAGGCAGCAGUGGGGAAUAUUGCACAAUGGGCGCAAGCCUGAUGCAGCCAUGCCGCGUGUAUGAAGAAGGCCUUCGGGUUGUAAAGUACUUUCAGCGGGGAGGAAGGGAGUAAAGUUAAUACCUUUGCUCAUUGACGUUACCCGCAGAAGAAGCACCGGCUAACUCCGUGCCAGCAGCCGCGGUAAAAGGG
rnacentral:rRNA from 1 species